UCUCUGUUAGUAUAUCGGUUAGUACACGCGCCUGUCACUGGACGGUCUCCUAUUGGCUGCUUACGUGCGCGCGAAAGCGGGGUUCGACUCCCCGACAGAGAG